rnacentral:rRNA from 1 species
GACGAACGCUGGCGGCGUGCUUAACACAUGCAAGUCGAACGGAAAGGCCCUGCUCUUGUGGGGUGCUCGAGUGGCGAACGGGUGAGUAACACGUGAGUAACCUGCCCUUGACUUUGGGAUAACUUCAGGAAACUGGGGCUAAUACCGGAUAGGAGCUCCUGCUGCAAGGUGGGGGUUGGAAAGUUUCGGCGGUUGGGGAUGGACUCGCGGCUUAUCAGCUUGUUGGUGGGGUAGUGGCUUACCAAGGCAUUGACGGGUAGCCGGCCUGAGAGGGGGACCGGCCACAUUAGGACGGAGAUACGGCCCAGACUCCUACGGGAGGCAACGGUGGGGAAUAUUGCACAAUGGGCGGGAGCCUGAUGCAGCAACGCCGCGUGCGGGAUGACGGCCUGCGGGUUGUAAACCGCUUUCGCCUGUGACGAAGCGUGGGUGACGGUAAUGGGAGAAGAAGCACCGGCUAACUACGUG